rnacentral:misc_RNA from 1 species
CACCCCCCAAGCAUUGCUUGAUGUUGGGCUCUGAUUUAGUAUCAAGCCCCAAACUCCUAGGCGCCUCUGCCGGCCGCAAACGUAGCAUUGUUACCGUUCUGCGUAGUUGGUAGGGUCUGCCUUGAACGUCUUUUGACACCUCAA